rnacentral:lncRNA from 1 species
AACAUAUGGCACUACAAGAUAUGCAGUAUGCCAGGGACCUGGGACAGUCUUCCCACCAUCAUUGCCCCAGCUCUGUAAAGCAUCAUUCUUGUUGUCAGGGGUUCAGGAGCAGAGGCAAGGGCAAGGGAGGAAACAGAGAGUGAGGGGGAGGAGGCAGAAGAGAAAAUGAGUGAUGACGACGACCCGAGAUCUCCGAGUCUUUCCAGUGAAUCAGACGAUUCACAGAAAGGAGCACCAGUGGCCAGGGCAAGGGGGGAGACUAGGGGGACACCCCAGGAAGAAAGGGCCAGAGGGGGCUCAGAGGGGAGCAGUGGGAAAUCGGGACCAGCGUCACCCACAGAGAGCAGGGGAGAGGAAGGGCGCCAGGUAUCAAGCGCUGGUAGCUCACAACAGGAGGGAGGGCACGAGUCAGGAGUGGCCACACCUCCAUCGGGGAGCGAAGAAACGGUCAGACGGGGCAGAGGGACCCAGAGAAGAACAGUCAGGCGGAAAAGGUGGAGUAAGGCUAGGGUAUUAAGUUGGUGUACAGGGGGCGGAGACUCAGACGGAGCUUCGCCGGUCUAGCCCUUAAGACGUAGAGUUGCGUGCAGCAGCUUGAGAAUGGAAACUGUAACUCAAUAAAAGACUUUUACAAGUGACCGCUGGCUAGCGUGAUCCUCUGUGAGCUAGGAUCUGGAAGCAGCUCUGACAGUAAGCUCCGUCUCCCGUUGUGGGCAUCUUCAGCCUCGCGGACAGAGGAAAAGGGGGGUGCCCACGACUCA